UACGUAGGGGGCAAGCGUUGUGCGGAAUUAUUGGGCGUAAAGAGCGUGUAGGCGGCCAGAUAAGUCCGCUGUGAAAUCUCGAGGCUCAACUUCGAGCUGUCGGUGGAAACUAUCUGGCUAGAGUCCGGAAGAGGAGAAUGGAAUUCCUGGUGUAGCGGUGGAAUGCGCAGAUAUCAGGAAGAACACCCGUGGCGAAGGCGGUUCUCUGGGACGGUACUGACGCUGAGACGCGAAAGCGUGGGGAGCAAACAGG
rnacentral:rRNA from 1 species